rnacentral:rRNA from 1 species
AUACGAAGGGUGCAAGCGUUAAUCGGAAUUACUGGGCGUAAAGCGCGCGUAGGUGGUUUUGUAAGUUGGAGGUGAAAGCCCCGGGCUCAACCUGGGACUUGCCUCCAAAACUGCAUGACUAGAGUACGGUAGAGGGUAGUGGAAUCUCCUGUGUAGCGGGGAAAUGCGUAGAUAUAGGAAGGAACACCAGUGGCGAAGGCGACUACCUGGACUGAUACUGACACUGAGGUGCGAAAGCGUGGGGAGCAAACAGGAUUAGAUCCCCUGGUAGUCCACGCCGUAAACGAUGUCAACUAGCCGUUGGGAUCCUUGAGAUCUUAGUGGCGCAGCUAACGCAUUAAGUUGACCGCCUGGGGAGUACGGCCGCAAGGUUAAAACUCAAAUGAAUUGACGGGG